rnacentral:rRNA from 1 species
AUUGAACGCUGGCGGCAUGCCUUACACAUGCAAGUCGAACGGCAGCACGGAGCUUGCUCUGGUGGCGAGUGGCGAACGGGUGAGUAAUAUAUCGGAACGUACCCUAGAGUGGGGGAUAACGUAGCGAAAGUUACGCUAAUACCGCAUACGAUCUAAGGAUGAAAGUGGGGGAUCGCAAGACCUCAUGCUCGUGGAGCGGCCGAUAUCUGAUUAGCUAGUUGGUAGGGUAAAAGCCUACCAAGGCAUCGAUCAGUAGCUGGUCUGAGAGGACGACCAGCCACACUGGAACUGAGACACGGUCCAGACUCCUACGGGAGGCAGCAGUGGGGAAUUUUGGACAAUGGGCGAAAGCCUGAUCCAGCAAUGCCGCGUGAGUGAAGAAGGCCUUCGGGUUGUAAAGCUCUUUUGUCAGGGAAGAAACGGUGAGAGCUAAUAUCUCUUGCUAAUGACGGUACCUGAAGAAUAAGCACCGGCUAACUACGUGCCAGCAGCCGCGGUAAUACGUAGGGUGCAAGCGUUAAUCGGAAUUACUGGGCGUAAAGCGUGCGCAGGCGGUUUUGUAAGUCUGAUGUGAAAUCCCCGGGCUCAACCUGGGAAUUGCAUUGGAGACUGCAAGGCUAGAAUCUGGCAGAGGGGGGUAGAAUUCCACGUGUAGCAGUGAAAUGCGUAGAUAUGUGGAGGAACACCGAUGGCGAAGGCAGCCCCCUGGGUCAAGAUUGACGCUCAUGCACGAAAGCGUGGGGAGCAAACAGGAUUAGAUACCCUGGUAGUCCACGCCCUAAACGAUGUCUACUAGUUGUCGGGUCUUAAUUGACUUGGUAACGCAGCUAACGCGUGAAGUAGACCGCCUGGGGAGUACGGUCGCAAGAUUAAAACUCAAAGGAAUUGACGGGGACCCGCACAAGCGGUGGAUGAUGUGGAUUAAUUCGAUGCAACGCGAAAAACCUUACCUACCCUUGACAUGGCUGGAAUCCUUGAGAGAUCAGGGAGUGCUCGAAAGAGAACCAGUACACAGGUGCUGCAUGGCUGUCGUCAGCUCGUGUCGUGAGAUGUUGGGUUAAGUCCCGCAACGAGCGCAACCCUUGUCAUUAGUUGCUACGAAAGGGCACUCUAAUGAGACUGCCGGUGACAAACCGGAGGAAGGUGGGGAUGACGUCAAAUCCUCAUGGCCCUUAUGGGUAGGGCUUCACACGUCAUACAAUGGUACAUACAGAGCGCCGCCAACCCGCGAGGGGGAGCUAAUCGCAGAAAGUGUAUCGUAGUCCGGAUUGUAGUCUGCAACUCGACUGCAUGAAGUUGGAAUCGCUGGUAAUCGCGGAUCAGCAUGUCGCGGUGAAUACGUUCCCGGGUCU